CCAGACUCCUACGGGAGGCAGCAGUGAGGAAUAUUGGUCAAUGGACGAGAGUCUGAACCAGCCAAGUAGCGUGCAGGAUGACUGCCCUAUGGGUUGUAAACUGCUUUUAUGCGGGGAUAAAGUGGGGAACGUGUUCUCUAUUGCAGGUACCGCAUGAAUAAGGACCGGCUAAUUCCGUGCCAGCAGCCGCGGUAAUACGGAAGGUUCAGGCGUUAUCCGGAUUUAUUGGGUUUAAAGGGAGCGUAGGCCGUUUUUUAAGCGUGUUGUGAAAUGUACCGGCUCAACCGGUGAUGUGCAGCGCGAACUGGAAGACUUGAGUGCGUAGUAAGCAGGCGGAAUUCGUGGUGUAGCGGUGAAAUGCUUAGAUAUCACGAAGAACUCCGAUAGCGCAGGCAGCUUGCUGUAUCGCAACUGACGCUGAUGCUCGAAAGCGUGGGUAUCAAACAGGAUUAGAUACCCUGGUAGUCCACGCGGUAAACGAUGGAUGCUCGUUGUCAGGCCUUUAGGUUUGGUGACCAAGCGAAAGCGUUAAGCAUCCCACCUGGGGAGUACGCCGGCAACGGUGAAACUCAAAGGAAUUGACGGGGGCCCGCACAAG
rnacentral:rRNA from 1 species